UAGGGAAUUUCGGCAAUGGGGGAACCCUGACCGAGCAACGCCGCGUGAAGGAAGAAGGAAUUCGUUCUGUAAACUUCUGUUAUAAAGGAAGAAAGACGGAUGGAGGAAAUGACAUCCGAGUGACGGUACUUUAUGAGAAAGCCACGGCUAACUACCGUGCC
rnacentral:rRNA from 1 species